AAAAAAAAGAAAGAAGAAGAAAGAAGAAGAAGUUUGCCAUUCAGUCACGAGUUACAGUCAGACUCAGUACUAGUUUCAACAGCCUACAGUUAGCAAAGUCAUCGACUACCAUCGUUUAACUUCGGUUUUUGGCAAUCAAGUGUGGGAGGGACCUCAAGACAACUGUGUGGCGAAUGCUUGAGAGUAUCUUCUCUAAUCGCCUUUCCAUUAACACAACCUGGACUGGUGCAGGGGAAAAAGCAUGUUUUAGAGACAUGUUCCUGAAGACCAUUGUUCAAAGAGCCAUCCGGAAGAACU